AUUGAACGCUGGCGGCAGGCCUAACACAUGCAAGUCGAGCGGAAGAAGGGAGCUUGCUCCUGGAUUCAGCGGCGGACGGGUGAGUAAUGCCUAGGAAUCUGCCUGUUAGUGGGGGAUAACGUCCGGAAACGGGCGCUAAUACCGCAUACGUCCUGAGGGAGAAAGUGGGGGAGCUUCGGACCUCACGCUAUCAGAUGAGCCUAGGUCGGAUUAGCUAGUUGGUGGGGUAAAGGCCUACCAAGGCGACGAUCCGUAACUGGUCUGUGAGGAUGAUCAGUCACACUGGAACUGAGACACGGUCCAGACUCCUACGGGAGGCAGCAGUGGGGAAUAUUGGACAAUGGGCGCAAGCCUGAUCCAGCCAUGCCGCGUGUGUGAAGAAGGUCUUCGGAUUGUAAAGCACUUUAAGUUGGGAGGAAGGGCAGUAAGUUAAUACCUUGCUGUUUUGACGUUACCAACAGAAUAAGCACCGGCUAACUUCGUG
rnacentral:rRNA from 1 species